rnacentral:rRNA from 1 species
CAGUAGCCACGGUAAUACGUAGGUGGCGAGCGUUGUCCGGAAUCAUUGGGCGUAAAGGGAGCGCAGGCGGGCAUGUAAGUCUUUCUUAAAAGUUCGGGGCUCAACCCCGUGAUGGGAAAGAAACUACAUGUCUUGAGUACAGGAGAGGAAAGCGGAAUUCCCAGUGUAGCGGUGAAAUGCGUAGAUAUUGGGAGGAACACCAGUGGCGAAGGCGGCUUUCUGGACUGCAACUGACGCUGAGGCUCGAAAGCCAGGGGAGCGAACGGGAUUAGAUACCCCUGUAGUCCCUGUCUCUUAUACA